UCCUGUUUUGUGCUUGUAAAUUAGUAGGAAGGAAAAGGUGGACUGAAUCCUUGGUAGUGCCCUGAAAUUAGAGUAGGUUCUUUUUUAAAGCCGCCCUGAGGGCCUAUUUCUAGGAAGUAAUAUGAAGAGACCAAAAGUCUGUUUUUGUCGUUUCCACAGGUGGUGUAGCAUAGGUUUUGUGAAUCAUAAAUGGUACUGUGAGAUCCUCAAUUUUAUUUUUAUUUAUUUAUUUUUCAUUUGCUAGAUUUAAUUUAGUUAAUUUUUUUUUUUUUUUUUUUUUUUGAGAUCCUCAGUUUUAGAUCCAAGUGUCUCCAAUCGUCUCUUUUCAUGAACAAUUAUUACUGAAUAGAUGGUGGCAUUUAAACUGGGACUCCUGCCCUGGUCCUCUAACUUUCAGUACAAAGAAGAGACCAUUCUUUCUUGAUCUGCCUAGAUCUCCAUUGGUCUUCUUCUUUUUUAAAUGUUUAUGUAUUUUUUUUUUAGAGCGAGAGAGCAUGAGUGGGGGAGGAGCAGAUAGAGAGGGAGACACAGAAUCCAAAGCAGCCUCCAGGCUCUGAGAUGUCAGCACAGAGCAGAUGUGGGGCUCAAACACACUCUGAGCUCAAGUCGGACACUUAACUGACUGAGCCACUCAGAUGCCCUUCCACUCCUCUUCUACCAUUUGCAUUGGCCUGCCUAGCCCUUAAGAUAAACUGUCAAAAGCAUAUCUGCUAUAUACUUAAAGACUUCCAUGCAAGUCCUUAAUCAUCCUCCUUUAUACUUUUGCUGGCCAUGCAUCUUUUCUAUAUAUAAAUUUUAGACCCAACACCAGCCAUAUUGUAUGCCAUAUUAGACCAUUUAUGUACAUUUUUUCUAAUCUUAAUAACCACCCCUAUAUUCUACGUAUUACAUGUAAGCACUGUGAACUUCCGAGUGGGACCAGAAAAGGAACUUGCCACUACAUGAAUACCAAGAAAGGAACAAACUGCGCAUGUUUCAGAGUGUUGAGUGGGCCUCUGGUCCACCUAAGAUACCCUGAGAACAUAGCCAAUGAGGAUCACUCUAAUUCUCCUCUAACACUUCUUCAACCCAAUGUCUUGGUGCACCCUUUUAGGGCCUUCAACUCAGCAGUCUUUCUUUCAGAGUUGUAUUUGUAUCAUGAAAGCGUUCACCUGCAAAUGGUUUCUUGGAAAAAUGUAUGAAAAAUAGAAGGACUAUCUGCUCUCCUCCAAAUUUCUUGGAUCCCUUCAGGCAUCAGUUGGGGUCCCCUGUUUGUGUUAGUACCUCUCUGUGAGUGUGGCAGCUGACGAGGGCAGGAGGGAGGCCGCUCUGUGUCUUUCCCCCUUAUUUCAUGUGCUGCUGUUCCUGAGGCCUGGCUUGAAAAAAGCAGGACAUUCGGCUUAGACAGAUGGAGGGCAGGGUCAUUUUCAAAAUGAAAUGAGUGCACAAAUCACACUGUGAAAUUGGCAUGACCAUCACUGCUGCUGUGAUAGACUGACUUUUAUUUAGUUAUGAUGGGCAGUUGGGGAAUAGAUUAGGUUUUUGGAGGGGGGAGGGGCCGCAGUGAAAGAAGGCCCUUUAAUUAAUGAGAGAAAUUCUGGAAAGCAAUAAAUGGGGUGGAAUAUUAUAAAAUGUCAUAAAAGACCAUUUUGUUUCCAACAGAAUCUUGAAAACUGGAGCAUGUAUCAAAAAGUAAAUGUAUCGUACCAUUGCUAGCAAUAAGAAAGCAUUUGGUGGUUGCAAUAAAAUGAUUUAGUGCCUUAUAGAAAGAAACUAGGCUUUGAGAAAAUGGAGUUGGACUCGGUGGAUUUUGCUGCAAAAAGGAAGGCAUGUUCACCAUGUAGAAGAAUUCCAUUCAGGCAAAAUGUGUAGGAGCUAAAAGCAUGAUGUUUGGUUCUUCAUAUGCUUGUGUUUCUGCCUGCCAAAGUAUGAGAUGAUCAAAUCCUAUUCUAUUUGUACAUAUUAUCUGUCUGGCAUUCUCUUGUAAAACAGUUGGAAGGUAUGAUUUCUUAUUUAUUCUUUACAUGUGAUCAUGCCCUGUUGGUAAACCGGUCAUUUCUGAACAUCCCAACUACCACAGCUGUGGUCAGACAUCUUUCUUGAUAAAGGAAGACCUUCUGAAAAACACACUUUUCAGUUGUUAUUUUUUUUUCCCUUCUCAUUUCAGGCCAUUUUCUUCAGGAUGGCCAGUUUCAGGGGCUCAGUUACCUUGCUUCCUCUCAACAGUAAACAGGGAAAAAUAAUAAAUUAGUACCAAAUUGGUAACGUAAUUGACUUUUAGAAGCAUCCCUUCCAUCUUUUAAUACUUUUGGAAGGGUUGUAUACCAAAUCAAUAUUUGGGGACAUGUAUGCUCAGACAUUUAACCUCAUUAUGAACUCUCUUUUUGCUGGUGGUUUCAGCUCUAUUAUUUUCAUUAGAUUUCUUUCUUGGAUAUACCUUAUUUUUUAUCAAGUAGCUUAUAUUUAGGUGCUUACAGUGUUAGCACUGUUACCUAAACUUGUCAGGGAGAACACAAUAGCAUUAUAGUUUAUAAAUGGAGUUAGUAGGGAAGGCACAACUGUGGAUACUGGUAUUUGAAGAAAGUGAUCAGCCAUCCAAACAAAGAGCUACUCUAAACCUUGUGUUUAUACAGUACUUUCUGUACCAGGACCUGGUCCUGCUUUGCCUAACUUCCCUCAUUAAUCCUCACAGCCCUUCUGUGAAUUAGGUGACUCUUAUUUUUGGCCCCACUGGAAAACCAUCGACUGCAAAGCACAAAAGGAAGCCUGUGGUUGCAGCAGCCCGCCCGCGGGGGCUGGCGAUUGCUUAAGCUGGCCAGUAGGGGCCACACUGCACCUCUUCCCUCUCUCCCCCUAGGCACCUCCUCUCCAGUCCUUUGAAUUGGGUUUGGAUCAUUUGCUGCAGUUUGUUCUAAUAGAACAGGCACAAUGGUGUAAGAAUUUUAAAGUUUAAGCACCGAAGCCGUUGUGUAAUUGUAUGGCGUCAGUGUGGUCGGCAGCCCUGCAUUGAUGCGAUCCCCCUGUGUAAUUGCCCAUGCAAAUUCGAGUGGUCUGUAAGGGACGCAGAAACCCGUGUUUGGCUACAGAUUCUUCUCCCCCAGAAAAUCUAAUAACUUGAAGAACCUUUUGUCAUCUUUAAAAUGCACCAUGGACAGGGAUGUCUCAGUAUCCCUCUCAUAGGGGCAGACAUCACAGAUCAAGACUUUAAAUCACCCACCACAAGAGAAAUAAAGAUUAUUCCAGAGGUUUAGUUAAACUUUAAGCAUUUUAUUAAAAACCAAGAUAGUUAGGUCUCUUAAAGCAGACUGUUUCAAACUCAUGAAUUAGUUGCCUGUGAAAUUGCUUGCAAUCUGUAAUGUAGUAUUCUUACAAUGAAACAUCAGCCUGACAAAUCUGUACAAAGCCAGUGACUUCAAACAAUUCAGCUGAAGACAUAUUUCCCUCCUUUUGUGUAAAACAAUAGUAAUUAGGAAGCAAAUCCAGAGGGGAUCCUUUUUAGAUUAUUGUAUAUCAAAAUAAAAUGGCAAAAGCAAUUUUCUCUCAUGGGAAUGAGACUUAACAAAACCUCAUCUCUUAUUUCUGUACUAUGCCCUUCCUUCCUCGUUCCCUCCCUUCUUUCCUCUCUCCCUUUUUUCCUUCCUCCCUUCCUCCCUCCCUCCCUUCCUUCCUUCCUUCCUUUAAUUCACAUAAACAUGAUUUAAUAUAAAUCUAAAGAAACAAAUUGAGGUUCUAAUACACACAUAUAUACAUAUAGAAAGUGAACACAAAGAUAAAUCAUGGCCUCAAAUAGCACAUUUUUAUCACAGAAAAUACUUCAUUUACCUAAUAAACAUAUUUCUGUACCAGUGUAUACAUUGAACAACAUUGGUAUAGAUACGCUGCACAGAAGCAAUUAAUCUUUAGCCCUGUUGAGAGAUGUGCCAAAUAUGCAAGAACAUUCAUAAUUAAAUUAGGGAAGAUGUAACCCAAAAUUGAUAGCUGAGGAAAAGGUAGUAACGCAAACAAUGUAAGCAGGACACCGGGCAUCGCUGAACCUGUGCUCAUCGUGACAUUCCCUGGACACGCUUCAUCUUGUUUCUGUCCUCCCUGUGUUUUAUUCUAUUACUGCUCACUUAUGAAACUUAUGAAAUUCUGGCUUUCUUGUAGCCAGACCCAACUUUUAAAUUUCCUGCUACAUUUGAGUUUUGGGAGUUCUUUACAGCAAGUGGCAGAACAGCUGUUUCAGAGACUGUUACUCUGAAGCAGACAAUGAGACUUCACGGCACUGGCAUUGCCGGAGUUUUUAGGGUCCUAAGUUAGGUUUUGUUCUGUUGUUUAAUGAAUUCUCUUGGAGUUUUUAUUUUUUCUAGGCCAGACAUUUUUCUUUAGAUUUAAAUCUUCCCUAACAUGUUUAGAUUUCUGUCUUGCUUGAAGGGAGUUUUUCCCACUAUUACUGGGGGUGAGAUGUAUUUUACCUUUCUGCAAUUCAUUAAGAGUCAGCAGGAGAAAUGGAUUUUAAAAUAAUUGUACUGCAAAGUAAAUUGAGCAGACUCUGUUUAAUGACCUAAGGUAAGUGGAUAAAGUAUGAUAAAUUUUGAUACAUGAAAAAAGCAACUGAAUUCCUGUAGCAUUAAUAUUAGAUGAUAUUGCUAUUACACUAACAAAAAUUUAAAGAUUAUUUCUAACCCAACCCAACGUGUAUGCAAAUAUAAAAUACCUGGAAAUGUAUAGACAUCUCAGAUUUUAGAAAUAAAAAACACAUGCAAUUUUAAUUUCACUUGAUUCACUUUAUAAAUUGACUUCUAAAUUAAACCAACUGCCAUUUAUAGGAUAUCUAGCUAUGAGAUAAUCUAAAGUUGUCCCUUAUGAAGUAAAAGGGUACAUUUUAAAAAAGCUGUACUGACAACCAUAUCUUUCAUGAUCACUAGAGGCAGGCUCAGACAUGUAUGUGGUAGGGGUGUUUUAUAUCUACCCCAUAUAUGUAACUUUUUAUUUUGUCUUUGGAGAGAAGAUGACCUCUUUAGGUUUGUUCCUAUUGUGUUUGAGAAGAGUAAGUAAGACAAUUAUGUGGAAAAUAUUUUAAAAACUAAAUACAGGUUGGUCCUCUGUUGUAGAAGUGAACAGAAUAAAGCCAGUGCUUUUAUUUUACAAGUGCAAAACCCAAGACCUGGAGGGUCCCAAGAGAACAGGUCAAACUGGUGGCCAAGUCGGGGGCCAGGGCCCAUCUACUGUGCAUCCUGUGGUGACCUUUGUAGUUUGCACGUGAUCUCUCCUGGCCAGUAUCAUAAGCUACAUUGUGGGUUGUGCAUGUGUUGUCUACAUAUCGACUACUAAGAAAAUAAAUAACAUGUCUGAAAAAACA